rnacentral:rRNA from 1 species
UCACAGUCAUAUCACCCUGCAGCCCAAGACCGGUUACUCACUGAAUUCUAAGCAGGACUGAGUCUGGUCAGUACCUGGAUAGGAGACCACAUGGGAAAACUAGGUUGCUGUUGGAA